rnacentral:piRNA from 1 species
UGCUACUAAGGCUUGAGUGUGCUUACCCAU